AUUGAACGCUGGCGGCAGGCCUAACACAUGCAAGUCGAGCGAGCGGCGGACGGGUGAGUAAUGUGUGGGAAACUGCCUGAUGGAGGGGGAUAACUAUUGGAAACGGGAGCUAAUACCGCAUAUCAUCACAUGUGCCCAGAUGGGAUUAGCUAGUAGGUGGGGUAACGGCUCACCUAGGCGACGAUCCCUAGCUGGUCUGAGAGGAUGACCAGCCACACUGGAACUGAGACACGGUCCAGACUCCUACGGGAGGCAGCAGUGGGGAAUAUUGCACAAUGGGCGCAAGCCUGAUGCAGCCAUGCCGCGUGUGUGAAGAAGGCCUGCGGGUUGUAAAGCACUUUCAGCGGGGAGGCGUUACCCGCAGAAGAAGCACCGGCUAACUCCGUGCCAGCCGCCGCGGUAAUUC
rnacentral:rRNA from 1 species